rnacentral:rRNA from 1 species
UGAGGAAUAUUGGUCAAUGGACGAGAGUCUGAACCAGCCAAGUAGCGUGAAGGAUGACUGCCCUAUGGGUUGUAAACUUCUUUUAUAUGGGAAUAAAGUGCAGUAUGUAUACUGUUUUGUAUGUACCAUACGAAUAAGGAUCGGCUAACUCCGUGCCAGCAGCCGCGGUAAUACGGAGGAUCCGAGCGUUAUCCGGAUUUAUUGGGUUUAAAGGGAGCGUAGGCGGAUUAUUAAGUCAGUUGUGAAAGUUUGCGGCUCAACCGUAAAAUUGCAGUUGAUACUGGUAGUCUUGAGUGCAGCAGAGGUAGGCGGAAUUCGUGGUGUAGCGGUGAAAUGCUUAGAUAUCACGAAGAACUCCGAUUGCGAAGGCAGCUUACUGGACUGUAACUGACGCUGAUGCUCGAAAGUGUGGGUAUCAAACA